rnacentral:sRNA from 1 species
GCCAGGUACAGUGGCGCAUGCCCGUAAUCCUAGCAGUUUGAAAGGCUGAGGCAGGAGGCUCACGAGUUCAAAGCCAGCCUCAGUAAAAGCAAGGUGCUAAGCAACUCCGUGAGACCCUGUCUCUA